GUUGAACGCUGGCGGCAGGCCUAACACAUGCAAGUCGAACGAGUAGCGGACGGGUGAGUGCUGUCUGGAAACCUGCCUGAUGGAGGGGGAUAACUACUGGAAACGGUAGAUAAUACCGCAUACCGUCAGAUCGGCCCACAGGGUAUGAGCUUGUUGGUGGGGUAACGGCUCACCAAGGCGACGAUCCCUAGCUGGUCUGAGAGGAUGACCAGCCACACUGGAACUGAGACACGGUCCAGACUCCUACGGGAGGCAGCAGUGGGGAAUAUUCCACAAUGGGCGCAAGUCUGAUGCAGCAAUGCCGCGUGUGUGAAGAAGGUCUUCGGGUUGUAAAGCACUUUCAGCGGGGAGGCGUUAUCUGCAGAAGAAGCACCGGCUAACUCCGUGCCAGCAGCCGCGGUAAUUC
rnacentral:rRNA from 1 species